GACGAACGCUGGCGGCGUGCUUAACACAUGCAAGUCGAGCGGCGCGGUGAACGGGUGAGUAACACUCGAGUAACUGCCCCCUUCUCUGGGCUUACAGUUGGAAACGGCUGCUAAUACCGGAUAGUGGGGGCGGACUCGCGUCCUAUCAGCUUGUUGGUGGGGUAGUGGCUUACCAAGGCGACGACGGGUAGCCGGCCUGAGAGGGCGACCGGCCACAGUGGGCUGAGAUACGGCCCAAACUCCUACGGGAGGCAGCAGUGGGGAAUAUUGCACAAUGGGCGCAAGCCUGAGGCAGCCAUGCCGCGUGUAUGAAGAAGGCCUUCGGGUUGUAAAGUACUUUCAGCGGGGAGGGUUAAAAACCGCAACGAUUGACGGUACUCGCAGAAGAAGCACCGGCUAACUCCGUGCCAGCAGCCGCGGUAAUUC
rnacentral:rRNA from 1 species